rnacentral:tRNA from 1 species
GGGGGUGUAACUUAGUGGUAGAGUACUUGCCUAGCAUGCAUGAGACUUGGGCUAGAGCCCCAGCACCACAA